AGCAUGGUAGUGCAGUGGUUAGCGCUGAUGACUGGCAGUUAGUAGGUCCCAGGUUCAAGUCCUGGCUCUCUG